UAAUAAAUUGUAAAUUUAAAGGAUAAUUCUAAGAGGGACAGCUCUUAGAAUAAGGGGUACAGCCCUAAUCAGAGAGUAAUUAUAUAUUUAAUAAUCAUAGUAGGCCUAAAAGCAGCCACCAAUUAAGAAAGCGUUAAAGCUCAACAAAUCUAACUAACUUAAUACCAAAAUUUAUCCCUAACUCCUGAUUUACAAAUUGGACUAAUCUAUUAUACUAAUAGAAGAAAUACUGCUAAUAUGAGUAACAAGAAAUAAUUUCUCCUAGCAUAAUUUUAUAUCAGAUCGAAUAUCUCGCUGAUAGUUAACAAUUCAAUGAACAAAAUCAUUAAUAAAAUAAUCAUUUAUAAAAUUGUUAGACCAACACAGGUGUGCGUUUAAGGAAAGAUUAAAUAGGCCAGAAGGAACUCGGCAAACACAAGCUCCGCCUGUUUACCAAAAACAUCACCUCUAGCAUCUCAAGUAUUAGAGGCACUGCCUGCCCAGUGACAUAGUUAAACGGCCGCGGUAUCCUGACCGUGCAAAGGUAGCAUAAUCACUUGUUCUUUAAUUAAGGACUCGCAUGAAUGGCUUCACGAGAGCUUAACUGUCUCCUGACCUAAAUCAGUGAAAUUGACCUUCCCGUGAAAAGGCGGGAAUACUAUAAUAAGACGAGAAGACCCUAUGGAGCUUUAGUAUAAAAACUAAGACCAAUUUAUAAUAACCUAAGGGUAUAUAAAUAAGUUAACUAGUUAUAAACUUUGGUUGGGGUGACCUCGGAGAACAAAAGAACCUCCGAAUGAUUCUAAUCUUAGACUCACAAGUCAAAGUAUGAUCAUUUAUUGACCCAGUAAAUUCUACUGAUCAACGGAACAAGUUACCCUAGGGAUAACAGCGCAAUCCUAUUCAAGAGUUCAUAUCGACAAUAGGGUUUACGACCUCGAUGUUGGAUCAGGACAUCCCAAUGGUGUAACAGCUAUUAAAGGUUCGUUU
rnacentral:rRNA from 1 species